GGCGGCAUAGCCAAGUGGUAAGGCAGCGGUCUGCAAAACCGCCAUUCUCCGGUUCAAAUCCGGAUGCCGCCUCCA
rnacentral:tRNA from 8 species